rnacentral:rRNA from 1 species
CGACGUAGGUAACCUGCCUUGUAGCGGGGGAUAACUAUUGGAAACGAUAGCUAAUACCGCAUAACAAUGGAUGACACAUGUCAUUUAUUUGAAAGGGGCAAUUGCUCCACUACGAGGUGGACCUGCGUUGUAUUAGCUAGUAGGUGAGGUAACGGCUCACCUAGGCGACGAUACAUAGCCGACCUGAGAGGGUGAUCGGCCACACUGGGACUGAGACACGGCCCAG